UCCCUGCGCGUAGCUGUGGAAAAUUCCGGAGCUAUGGCUGUGCCCUUCUCAGGCUGCUGAGGUAGAAGUUUGGGAAGGCACACAGGCUUCUCCCGAGAAGCAGCGUUUCACCAGCUCGGGUUCAGAGCACGGGAUUCUGGGCCCCGCGGUGGCGUAGACGCUGCGCUCGGACGACCGGCUUCUCCUUUAGGGUUUCCUAACUUCCUACAAUGAAAAUCUCACUCAUGAAGCUGGGGCACUGUCACUAGUAAGUGUUGAGAAGCAACGCUAGCAGCUGAGGGAUGGAACGGUAGACCCCAUGCUCACAGCUUUCAGGACUACUCUGACGAACUAUACUAGGAAAGAGAACUCGCUUUUAAGGAAUUGAAAUUCCAGCAUGGAUGUGACAGGAACAGGACCACGCCUGGGUGUCUGGAGUGUGGAUGCACCCUUGUAGUAGUAGUGCAAACAGUCAUUGCAGUGGUCCGGUCCUGGCCCAUCACAGCCUACCUCACUGCACUCAGGGUCACAGGGACCUUCCAAAAGAAAUCAGAACAACACUUGGAGAAAAUGAUUUUAAAGCAGCUAACCAGUCAUGCACAGAUGGAAGAACGGCAUUGAGUGGCAAAGAGCAGCUUCCCAUUUGUUAACACCCAGCAGUGAUCACAAUACCCUCCUUUUGGGCUCUUUCAAAGAUGACUCUGGAAACUUCAGGGUGUACCGUGUCUUCUGGUAGAACACCAUAAAAUGAAGCCUGUUGAAACUAUUACUGGGAUGUGUGAUAGAAAUUUAAUUGCUUUGAAAUGCCUAAGGCUAGCAAGAUGUGAACAUGUGUAAAGAGUCUGAAUUGAGAUUCUAAGAAAAAAAAAGUCUGGAUCUAUUUAUGUCACAGAAGAUGAAUCCAGAUGGAUUCUGCAAAGUGAUCGCCUGGUGUGUAUAACUGUACCUUCCUAGACACAGUGGCCUUAGGAAGUUACGCAUAGAACUAGGGUGGGAUUAAUUUUCAGGAUUUCUUUCUGAAACUUUGGGUCUGGUUUUUAUUGUAGACACUGGUAUGAAUAUAAAGAUCUCUCUGGAUAGAAAAAAAAGGAUGGGCUAAGCCAUCUUUAUGAAAAUUUAAAAAGAUGUAAUAAGGCUCCUUUUUCUCUUGUUCAUUUGGGUUAUCUUAUUGAUCCUGAACCAGUUUUCACAGCUGGAACAGUGCCCAUUUGGCAUGGUCUCACUAUGGUCACAGCAACUUAGAGCCCCCUGUCCCUGAUGGAGGACAGGGAAUUAGUGCCGCAGUCUGUGCUCAGAAUGCUGAUGCCAGAGUCCAAACUGACAGGCAUGUACUGAUUUCAAUGACAGAGUUCCUCCUAUGCACCUCAAUCACAUUUCCCCCUUUCACAUUUAAAGCCCUAUUCCUCGGUAGAAAAGAUGGUCUGUUGGGAGCACCUCCCCAAGCCAGCUUGACGAUAAUCAUGGAAACAUCACAUAAAGUCCUUUUCACCACUGCCUUAUGCCUGUGUUCAUGUAUCCUGCAUAUAUCAAUGUUUAUAAGGACUCAUCACCCCAAAUAAGAAUCUUCUCCUACUGGCUCCACGUGAAAUAAUUAUACAUUUGAACUAAUGAAGCUUCAAUCAUUUUUGGUCACAAAAUAAGGCAGAAUGUAGAAAGAAUAUGAAGAGAGAAACAGAUCUGUGCUUUACACACUUACUCAAAAUUCUAAGAUUUUGCGUCAAACUGUGUCUAGAGAGUUGGUGAUAAAGAUAGUGAUGAAAAAAGAUAUUGGAAAACUCUAUUUGACUGCAGUAACUUUGCUAAUGAAGGUUCUGUGAAUGUCAAGGUUGAAGCAGUAGAUGAAGGUUAAAAUGACCAAAACCAUCUCUGGAGAGAUACCUUUUAAAAGAUACCCGUGCCUUUGACAAUUGUGGGAGAAAUUACAACAGAAUUCUAUGCAACAGGGCUGCCUAUGUGAGAAUUAUGUGUAUUAGAGACAGCUGCCUCUUUCUUUAGGUGGACAUCAUCCCACUCUGGGGCACUUGGCUUGGUGAGUAAAUCACAGGCCAGAUUUCAGUCUCCACUCAAUCCUCGUUUGAUUCCCUUGCACAGUUAAUAACCUGUGCGAUGAACUAUGGCAGCCCUAGCAUACAAUCAUAGACAUUUCUUGCAUUUUCAGGUAUCUCCUCUGAUUCUUUACUCAUAUAUGGCCGGAAUUUAGUGCGAAUUUUAGGAUUCUAAGAUGCACAAUAUUGAACUCUGGAACAAAGCCGGACACGUAUCUUUUACCUUGGCUCUAAAGGCACUUCUGAAGGCAAAACGUAUAAAGAAAAGCAAAAAAUUUCCAGACAGAACCAUCCCACACAGUAUAUUAAGAAAGCAUAGACGCUGCAGCCUCUGGCAGGUUCAAAAAAGUCAUAAAGCUUCCUAGGACUAUAGAUGAUUCUAAGUUUGCUUCACAGCCAAGAAAAAGAAUAUUAACAUAAAACUUAAGAAAGGGAAAAAGGCAUUUGUAAACUGUAAAUGCCUCUGUCACGCUAUCUGCAAGAGUCUCACAGCGACUCAAGAAGCUAACCAGAAUUAUGUCACUCGCUUUCUUUAAGUCUCUGAAAAUUGACACGGCAAAUACACAGACCACAACUGUACGUGAAAAUAAUUCAAAUAUUGGAAGUUAAGUGGCUUUCUGAAGGUCAUGGUGAACAAUAAUAAGCAACAAAAAGACCUGGGUCAAAGGAAAUUUGUGAAGUCUUCUCAAAGUACAAUUUCUGGCCUGACACUUUUCAAGAAGCGAUCUCGUCACCACACCCUUUGUCCUAGAUUUAUUAAAGACCCAUUUCAAAAAGCAUUUCUUUGUCUUCUCUUUUUAAAAAAAGAAUUUAGCAAAGAUGAUUAUAAACACCAGUGCUAUAACUCUCCUCAUUUAGAAGGCGACCAAGAGAUGAUAAAAAAUUUCACUGAAUGUCACAGCCCUUGAGGUCAGGAAUAUACAAUUGCAUGCUAAGAUGAUAGAAAAUGAUCACUGCAAGAGCAUUUUCAUCCAUUUUAGCAAGUCAGUUUCUUCUGUGCGUGUCAUUUUGUAGCACAUAUCACAGGACUCAUGGAUUUAUACCAUCAGCUUAAAAAAGAGAACUCUAGCAUCAAAGCAACUGGAAUCGACUUGCUUGAUAGUCAUUACUAUUAUCCAACUCACUUUCUCAAAUCAGUGCAGUAGCCCCAACAUGUUUUUCAGAUCAAAUAAGAACUCUUAACUCUAGGAAUCAGGUAGCAUGGCUCUCAGUUUCUUCUGAAUUACUUCCCUCAUCACAUCAUACCCGUCAUUUUUGCACACUGGGUCCUCUGUCUUCUCCCUUACCCUGACCAUUGCUUUCACCACAGCUGUCUCAUCCAGUUUUAAUCCCCAAUCCUCCAAGAGAUACAAAGAAAAAAUAAUACAUCUGUUUAAACUAACUACUCUAAAAACUAUUUCAGACAAGUUUUAAUUCCCAUGAGUAACUCUAAGGUUCUCAAACACCUUCCACCCUCUCAUUAUAUUUAUCUAUGCUUCUCAUCUAGGUUAUGUACAUGACAUUAACAAAUCAUUCAUGAUCAGCAGAUUAUGCUUUUUUCAAAACAUUCCAGCCCAUCUAUUGUUUCUUGAAAUCCAAGUAGUCUUCUAGAAAAGCAGAGAAAUAACAAAUAAGGAAGUUAACCCUUUAUCCAGAAUCAUCAACUAAAAUCACUGGCAAAUGGAAAUAAGAACCCAAAUUAGACAAAGUAAACUACAGAGAGGGGAACAGAAGUGUUACAUGAAAUACGUGAAUAUAAAGGAGUGAGUGUCAUAUUUGCAAGGGAGAGUGGAGCUCAUUUCAUUCCUAAGCUACACACAGCAUUUUAAUGGCCACAGAUCUAUGUGUGUGUGUGUGUGUGUGUGUGUGUGUGUGUGUGUGUGUGUAUAUAUAUAUAUAUAUAUAUAUAUAUAUAUGUGCUUCAUUUUUAUCAUACAAAAAUUCUAACAGAAUAUUAACUGUUUAUUAAUUCAACAUUAAAUGUUGUAUGAGAAUGAUGCAUAACAUGUAGAUGAUCGUGUUCCCUGAGUGUCUGCUAUGAAUGAAGAACUGUGCUCAAUUCUGUAUAUGAUACUGUUUUCCUCAUUCUUCCCUUUGCCACACACUCCAGCUAGGAUGGAUGGCCUCCUAGCUUUUCCUUGACUGACACUUUGUAUCUGCUGUAUGCCUGGCCUGAAAUGCUCUAUAUCUGGCUAGCCAUUUGGACCAUUCCCUUACUCCUCAAAGCCUCUGUUUAAAUUAGGUCUUUUCGGACCGUGUAAUGUUUAAAAAGUUGUAAUUUGUCCACACAGAGACUUGUCCAUGAAUAUUCAUACCAGCUUUACUCAUAACAACCAACCUGGAAACAAUAAAAUAGUCCAGGGGAAGGGGAACCUUCGUACACUGUUGGUGGGAAUGUAAAUUGGUGCAGCCACUGUGGAAAACAGUAUGGAGGUUCCUCAAAAAACUAAAAAUAGAAGUAUCAUAUGAGUAAUUCCACUCUUGAGUACAUAUCCAAAAAAACCAAACCACUAAUUCAAAAAGAUAUAUGCACCCCAAUGUUCAUAGCAGCAGUAUUACAACUGUCAAGAUAUGGAAGUAACCUAAGUGUCCAUCGACAGAUGAAUGGAUUAAGAAUAUGUGGUACAUAUAUACAGUAGAAUACUACUCAGCCAUAAAAAAGAAUAAAAUUUUGUCAUUUGCAACAACAUGGACGGACCGGGAGGGUAUUACGCUAAGUGAAAUAAGUCAGAGAAAAGACAAAUACUGUAUGAUAUAACUUACAUGUGGAACCUAAAAAUUAAAAUAAACUAGUGGAUAUAACAAAAAAGAACAGUUUUGCAGAUAUAG